GAGAACAAUAGUUGAAAUGUAAAUCAGAAUAAAUUAAAUUCAUUUGAUGUAAAAUAAAUUCCAUUAUACUCUAUUUUGACCAUAUGAUCAACACUUAUACAUAGUGCCAUUUAUUUUGUGUUCUUCACUCUCGCGCUGUGUUGUGAUCGUUCGAAACUCAUUGCCAGAACGAAUGCAAAUUUCAUUUUGGAAGGAUUGGUGCUGGAAGAUGCAACGAAAAUAAUUAAAUGUUAAUAGAAAAGAGGUUAAGUAAAUCGUGAAAGAUGUCAACGCAGGCGUAACUGCAGUUUGUUUUGUUACAUGAUCUACGGCUAUUUCAUUGCCAAAGCUCCUGAUAACAGAUCAAAGCAGAUGGAUCGGGCUUACAGAGUCGCCAUUUAACUUAAAAUAUCUUCGUGAUCGGAAAACGCAUCAAACAGCAAGUGUUUUUCUUCCAACAGCACGCGCCAUCGGUGGAGCAAGCAGCCAACGUUUUGAUCGCCAGUACGCGCCAUCAAGAAUUGAAAUAUUCCCGAAUAGCUCUGUGAAUAAAAAACUGCACACUUACUGUCGGAA